rnacentral:tRNA from 1 species
UCCCUUGUAGCUUAGUUGGUAAAGAAUCUGCCUGCAUUGCAGGAUACCUGGGUUCUAUUCCUGGGUUGGGAA